GUGUCGCGGGGCGAGCCCGGGCGCGAGCCUGCGGCUCCGCCGGCCGCUGGCGUGCGUGCGUGCGUGCGUGCGCGCCACCGCCAUCGCCAUCGCCUUCCUGGUUUGGACAGCUCUACCGGCUCCUCCCGCACGGCGCAGACGGGGCAGGAAUUUUAUAACUGUCAGAAUCAUGGCCUCCCAAUUUUGCAGAUGAGGAAACUGAAGCCUAGAGGGAGUAAAUGACUUGCAAAAUCCAUAAGGCGGGCUGGGCGCGGUGGCCCACGGCUGUAAUCCCAGCACUUUGGGAGGCGGAGGCGAGUGGAUCACGAGGUCAAGAGAUCCAGACCAUCCUGGCCAACAUGGUGAAACCCUGUCUCUACUAAAAAUGCAAAAAUUAGCUGGGCGUGGUGGCGCGCGCCUGUAGUCCCAGCUACUCGGGAGGCUGAGGCAGGAGAAUCGCUUGAACCCGGGAGGCCGAGGUUGCAGUGAGCCGAGAUCACACCACUGCACUCCAGCCUGGCAACAGAGCGAGACUCCAUCACAACAACAACAACAACAACAACAACAACAAAAGCCAGGUGUGGUGGCUCAUCCCUGUAAUCCCAGCAACAAAAGCCGGGUGUGGUGGCUCAUCCCUGUAAUCCCAGCACUUUCGAAGGCUGAGUUGGGUGGAUCACCUGACGUCAGGAGUUCCAGACCAGCCUUGGCCAACAUGAUGAAACCCCAUCUCUACUAAAAAUACAAAAAAUUAACGUGGUGUGGUGGCGGGUGCCUGUAAUCCCAGCUACUUGGGAGGCUGAGGCAGGAGAAUCGCUUGAACCCGGGAGGCGGAGGUUGCAGUGAGCCAAGGUCACACCAUUGCACUCCAGUCUGGGCAACAAGAGCGAGACUCUGUCUCAAAAAAAAAAAAAAAAAACCCAUGAAGCGGCUGGGCGUGGUGGCUCACGUCUGUAAUCCCAGCACUUUGGGAGGCCGAGGCGGUAGAAUGGCUUGAGCCCAGGAGUUCGAGACCAGGCUGGGCAACAAAGCAAGACACUAUCUCUACAAAAAAUAAAAUGAUUAGCCGAAUGUCGUGGUGUGCUCCUGUAGUUCCAACUACUCAGGAGCCUGAAGCAGAAGGAUUGCUUGAGUCCAGGAGUUGGAGGCUGUAGUAUGGCACCACUGCACUGAAAUCUGGGCGACAGAACAAGUCCUUGUCUUAAAAAAAAAAAAAAAAAAACUUUUCUAAGUGAAUAAUAAAAAAUAUGUCCUUACA